CAGUAGCCCGGGAAAACGGAGGGUGCAAGCGUUAAUCGGAAUUACUGGGCGUAAAGCGUGCGUAGGCGGUUCGUUAAGUCUGUUGUGAAAGCCCCGGGCUCAACCUGGGAGUGGCAAUGGAUACUGGCGAGCUAGAGUGUGUCAGAGGAUGGUGGAAUUCCCGGUGUAGCGGUGAAAUACGUAGAGAUCGGGAGGAACAUCAGUGGCGAAGGCGGCCAUCUGGGACAACACUGACGCUGAGGCACGAAAGCGUGGGGAGCAAACAGGAUUAGAUACCCCCGUAGUCCCUGUCUCUUAUACA
rnacentral:rRNA from 1 species